AUGAUGGUUAUGGGAGAGUCCGCAAUUUGGCGGCGCCGAUGGGGCAAAGCUUUGUUCAAACUCUCAGGUAAACAUACUGUAACCGGACC
rnacentral:ncRNA from 1 species